GUCUUCACUUCAGAAGCACAUAUAUUAAAAUCAGAAUGAUACAGAGAAGAUUAGUGCAGCCCCUGCAAAAGAAUGACACACAAAUUCAUGAAACAUACAACUUUAGG